CAUGAGUGGCGGACGGGUGAGUAACGCGUGGGCAACCUGGGCCUGUACAGGGGGAUAACACUUAGAAAUAGGUGCUAAUACCGCAUAACCGGGGGAAGCCGCAUGGCUUUUCCCUGGAAACUCCGGUGGUACAGGAUGGGCCCGCGUCUGAUUAGCCAGUUGGCAGGGUAACGGCCUACCAAAGCGACGAUCAGUAGCCGGCCUGAGAGGGCGGACGGCCACACUGGGACUGAGACACGGCCCAGACUCCUACGGAAGGCAGCAG
rnacentral:rRNA from 1 species